AGGAAGAGAACGGUGUUCGUGGGUAGAAUACAGACGAAUAAGCAGGAACAGCCUCCAGUGAGUUAAGAAAAUAAAGUUAUGAAAAGAGGAAACCGUCACAGGAAAGGAAAGCGUUGGAAGAAAAAAUGGUUCACUCUGUUGGUUCGAAAGUUCGGGUUGAAGCUUCACACUCGCGAUUCGGUGCUUCGCUCACUGCUUCACUCACUGCCUCAUUCACACGAUAAACACAAGGGCUGGCUAGAUUCAUUUGCUCUGAAGGGGAAGAAGCGAAAGGAAGGAAGAAAGGGAGGAAGGAGGAGGGCCAGGUUGCAGUCUCUAUGCAGUGGUGAAGAUGGAAGGGAAAACAGACCAAAUGGAAGACUGAAGAAGACCUGGAGACAGUGAGUGGAGGGAGACAUGAGAAAGACGAACAUCAAGGAGAGGAAAGUAUAGGAUAGUCAAGAGUGGGAGAAUCAUAGCCGGAUAAGGAUGGUAAAUGAGAAGAUGAAGACAACUGUACCCUACCCCACUGAGCAGCCUUCCACUCACCAAUGAACUUAACAAUGUAUCCCAUGUAUCUGUCAAGAGUGGGAGAGACUCAUAGCCGGCCCAGACCCAUAAGGAAAAAUAAGGAUGCUAAAUGAGAAGACGAUGACGACUGUACCCUACCCCACUG